AAUUUACUUUUUGUGUUAUAGCUCUGGUGUAAAAAAACAACAGCAAGGUUUAAUCCUGUAUCUUCUGCUCAUUAUUUAUAUGAAUGAAAAUUCAAUAUCUGAAAGUGAUUUAUGGAACGCUUUGGUCCCACUUGGAAUAAAGCCCAGCACUCAGAAGUCACAUCCCAUAUUUGGAGAUGUUCAGAAGUACAUUAACUCUGAACUUGUUAAACAAAUGUACAUAGAUCAUGUAUGUAUCAGUAAAGAUCCACUUAAUUAUGAGUAUCGAUGGGGACCACGAGCCGAAUCAGAAGUAGAUAAAUCAGAUCUCCUUCAGUUCGCUUGCUUAGUCUUAGAUAAGAAACCAGAAGACUGGAUCUUGCAGUACAAAGAUGCUACGGAAUCUGCUGAAACACAAGAUAGUGUUGAAAAUAGUUAAAUAUGUGGAGCAAUGUAAGGAGGAGUGAGACAUAUUACUGAAAUGAAGCUCCUGAUUCCAGUUUCGCAACCAGAAGAAGCUAUUAUUGCUAAAUCAGUUUCAUGAAAAUUAAAGUUUGAACUUUCGAUUAUGUCAAAAAGAGUUUCUAUUUCUGGAGCUGCAACAGGAUCCACUAAGCGAAAGCACGUUCUGAUGUUCAUUAAAUAAAAAGUGAAACUGCUGCAAAAAAUGGCUACAGGUAUAUCCAUCUCAAAAUUACACGAGGUGUAUAGCAUUGGAAAGUCAACUGUAUACGACACAACAGAAAAGGAAGUUCUUGAAUUUUUCGGAUUCCGACACCCCACUCGCAAUGAAUAACUAAAAAAUUAUUUGUUAUCUAAGAGUGACGAUCAUGAAAAAAGGAUGAUUGAAUGAGUCAGACAGAGUCACGGCGAGGGCAUGCCACUGACAGGUCCAACGCUAAUGUCUCAAGCCAAAGUAUUUCAUGAAGAAAUGAACUUAAAAAAUUAGUGCACAUAUUCGAAAGGUUGGUUAGCCAAAUUCAAAAUUUGUCAUGGUAUAAGGCAAUUAAAAAUUUCUGGUGAAAACACUUCAGCUAAUACUGAAGGUGCUGAACUAUUUGCAGAUGAGCUCGUUGAAUAGUGAAAAGUUAUCUCCAGAAAAAAUUUACAAUGCUGAUGAAACUGGUCUUUAAUGUAAUAUGUACCACGAAAUAUCUUGGUGAGCUCUACAGAAAACGUUCCAACAAAUGUAAAAAAUUCCAAAGCGAGACUAACAAUUUUAGCAUGCGCAAAUGCUGCAAGAAUGCACAAGUGUCAACUUUUCGUAAUCGGUAAAAAUACACGACCUCAAGCAUUUAAAAAAGUAAAGAUUUCCCACAUUUUAUAUCAUGCAAAUAAAAGAGCAUGGAUGACGCAAGUGUUAAUGAAUGAUUGGUUUGAAAAUCAUUUCAUACCCGAGGCUCGGCAACAUUUGAAUUCGGUUGGUUUACCUGAUGAUGCAAAACUUGUCUUGAUUGUAGACGACUGUCUGGCUCAUACUUCACAUACAAGUUUUAAUAAAGGAUAAUGUAUCCUUAUUAUUCUUUCCUCCAAAAUGUACAUUUAUCAUUCAGCCUACUGACAUCAGAAUAGUGUGCGCACUGAAAUGCAAAUGUAAAUUAGCAUUUUUAAAAUCCAUGUUAAAUUUUUUUAAUUAUGGCAACCCUAUUCAAGAAAAUUUGAAAUAUUUUAGCAUAAAAUCUGCUGUGUGGAGCAUUGCAAGAUCAUGGAAGUAUGUUUCUCCAGAUACUAAAAAAAUGCUUGGCAUAAUUUAUGUCCAGCUACCAUAUUUCAUGGUGAGGAUGAUGAAGAUGAUAGCCGUGAAUUUGAAGGUUUUCAGAUAUCGCAAACCAAAGGAGAAAUUUUUCAUCUAAUAGAUAUUGUGAAGAAUCGGUAAUAAAUGAAGAUGAGGUAAACAGAAGUUUAUCAUAGCAUUGACAAUGCCCCAAUCAUCAAUCAAUUAACGGAGGUGAAACCUGUAGUAUGGUUCUAGAUCCAGAAAACACUGCUACCAAUAGUAAAGAAAAUGACAGAGAGGUAUUGAAAACGAAAAAAUUUCGA